rnacentral:rRNA from 1 species
ACGGAAGGCAGCAGUGGGGAAUAUUGCACAAUGGGCGCAAGCCUGAUGCAGCGAUGCCGCGUGAGGGAAGAAGGUUUUCGGAUUGUAAACCUCUGUCAACAGGGACGAAAAUGACGGUACCUGUGAAGGAAGCUCCGGCUAACUACGUGCCAGCAGCCGCGGUAAUACGUAGGGAGCAAGCGUUAUCCGGAAUUACUGGGUGUAAAGGGAGUGUAGGCUGGACUGUAAGUCAGAUGUGAAAUAUGCCGGCUCAACUGGCAGACUGCAUUUGAAACUGCGGUUCUUGAGUGAAGUAGAGGUAAGCGGAAUUCCUAGUGUAGCGGUGAAAUGCGUAGAUAUUAGGAGGAACAUCAGUGGCGAAGGCGGCUUACUGGGCUUUAACUGACGCUGAGGCUCGAAAGCGUGGGGAGCAAACAGGAUUAGAUACCCUGGUA